CCUGUAGGCGGUUUGUCGCGUCUGCUGUGAAAAUCUGGGGCUUAACUCCGGACGUGCAGUGGGUACGGGCAGGCUAGAGUGUGGUAGGGGAGACUGGAAUUCCUGGUGUAGCGGUGAAAUGCGCAGAUAUCAGGAGGAACACCGAUGGCGAAGGCAGGUCUCUGGGCCAUAACUGACGCUGAGAAGCGAAAGCAUGGGUAGCGAACA
rnacentral:rRNA from 1 species